rnacentral:rRNA from 1 species
GAAUAUUGGACAAUGGGGGGAACCCUGAUCCAGCCAUGCCGCGUGUGUGAAGAAGGCCUUUUGGUUGUAAAGCACUUUAAGCGAGGAGCAGGCGACUUAGAUGAAUACUCUAGGAUAGUUGACGGUACUCGCAGAAUAAGCACCCGCCAACUCUGUUCCAACAGCCGCGGUAAUACAGAGGGUGCAAGCGUUAAUCGGAUUUACUGGGCGUAAAGCGAGCGUAGGUGGUCAAUUAAGUCAAAUGUGAAAUACCCGAGCUUAACUUGGGAAUUGCAUUCGAUACUGGUUGGCUAGAGUAUGGGAGAGGAUGGUAGAAUUCCAGGUGUAGCGGUGAAAUGCGUAGAGAUCUGGAGGAAUACCGAUGGCGAAGGCAGCCAUCUGGCCUAAUACUGACACUGAGGUGCGAAAGCAUGGGGAGCAAACA